rnacentral:rRNA from 1 species
AUUGAACGCUGGCGGCAGGCCUAACACAUGCAAGUCGAACGGAAACAGGAAGCUUCUUGCUUCUUUGCUGACCAGUGGCGGACGGGUUAGUAAUGUCUGGGCCACUUCCUGAGGGAGGGGGUCCACUACUGGAAACGGUUGCUACUACCGCAUAACGUGGCAAGACCAAAGAGGGUGACAUCCGGCCCUCUUGCCUUCGGCUGUGCCCAGUUGGGAUUAGCUAGUAGGUGGGGUAACGGCUCACCUAGGCGACGAUCCCUAGCUGGUCUGAGAGGAUGACCAGCCACACUGGAACUGAGACACGGUCCAGACUCCUACGGGAGGCAGCAGUGGGGAAUAUUGCACAAUGGGCGCAAGCCUGAUGCAGCCAUGCCGCGUGUAUGAAGAAGGCCUUCGGAUUGUAAAGUACUUUCAGCGGGGAGGAAGGGAGUAAAGUUAAUACCUUUGCUCAUUGACGUUACCCGCAGAAGAAGCACCGGCUAACUCCGUG